CCAAUAGCGUAUAUUAAAGUUGUUGCAGUUAAAAAGCUCGUAGUUGAAUUUCGGGGUUAGUAGGUUGGCCGUGCCUAUGGUAUGUACUGGCUUUACUGAUUCCUCCUUCUUGAAGAACUGUAAUGUCAUUAAUUUGGUGUUGCAGGGAAACAGGACUGUUACUUUGAAAAAAUUAGAGUGUUUAAAGCAGGCUAACGCUUGAAUACAUUAGCAUGGAAUAAUGAAAUAGGACGUUUGAUCCUAUUUUGUUGGUUUCUAGGAUUGACGUAAUGAUUAAUAGGGAUAGUUGGGGGCAUUAGUAUUCAAUUGUCAGAGGUGAAAUUCUUGGAUUUAUUGAAGACUAACUACUGCGAAAGCAUUUGCCAAGGAUGUUUUCAUUAAUCAAGAACGAAAGUUAGGGGAUCGAAGACGAUCAGAUACCGUCGUAGUCUUAACCAUAAACUAUGCCGACUAGGGAUCGGAUGAUGUUAAUUUUUUAAUGACUCAUUCGGCGCCUUACG
rnacentral:rRNA from 1 species